AGCUCGUAGUUGGAUUUCUACCGAAGAUAGCCGGUCGGGUCUUCGACCUUGUAUCUGGUUUUGUCUUUGGUAUCCUCAUAGGGAACGUUGCUGCGCUUCAUUGCGUGGUGCGGUAUCUAUGACUUUUACUUUGAGGAAAUUAGAGUGUUCACGGCAGGCAAACGCCUUGAAUAUAUUAGCAUGGAAUAAUAACAUAGGAUCUUCGUCCUAUUUUGUUGGUUUCUAGGGCUAAGAUAAUGAUUAAUAGGGAUAAUUGGGGGCAUCUGUAUCAACGCGUCGGAGGUGGAAUUCUUGGAUUGCGUUGCGACAAACUACUGCGAAAGCAUUUGCCAAGGAUGUUUUCAUUGAUCAAGAACGAAAGUAAGGGGAUCGAAGACGAUUAGAUACCGUCUUUUUUUUUACCAUAAACUAUGCCAACUAGGGAUCGGUGGUCGUUCUUUCUAUGACUCCAUCGGCACCUUAUGAGAUAUCAAAGUUUUUGGGUUCCGGGGGGAGUAUGGUCGCAAGGCUGAAACUUAAAGGAAUUGACGGAAGGGCACCACCAGGAGUGGAGCCUGCGGCUUAAUUUGACUCAACACGGGAAAACUCACCAGGUCCAGACAAAGUAAGGAUUGACAGAUUGAUAGCUCUUUCUUGAUUCUUUGGGUGGUGGUGCAUGGCCGUUCUUAGUUGGUGGAGUGAUUUGUCUGCUUAAUUGCGUUAACGAACGAGACCUCAGCCUGCUAAAUAGUGCGUUCUAUCCUCGGAUAAAUCGAUCACUUCUUAGAGGGACUUUGCCCGCUUUAGGGUAGGGAAGCUUGAGUCUAAAACAGGUCUGUAAUGCCCUUAGAUGUUCUGGGCUGCACGCGCGCUACACUGAUGCGUUCAACGAGUGUAUAACCUUGCCAGACAUGGUUGGGUAAUCUUUUGAACACGCAUCGUGAUGGGGAUAGAUC
rnacentral:rRNA from 1 species